GUUUUAUAACUUGCUUAGGGAAAUUAUAAGUGUUUAUAAGAAAAAUAAUUUAAAUAAGAAUAAGUAAUUUUUAAUGAAAAUAAUUAUUAAGGCGAGAGAGGAGAAGUACUGUGAAGGAAAUAUAUUUUAUAAAGUUAUUUAGUAAAGGUAAAAUCUUGUAUCUUGUGUAUUAGAGAAAAUUAAUAUAAUUUAGUUAUUUAAGUAUCUCGAAAUAAAUACAGUUAAUUAGAAAUAAAAUUUUUUGUGGAAAAAAAAUUUUAAAUUUAUAGUUAAAGAUGAAACGUCAAUCGAGAUUUAUUAUAUCUGGUUUUUUGAAAAUAAAUUAAAUUUUUUCUUUAUACGAAGUAGAAUGUGUAAAGGUGAAUAGCAGGAGGGAUAAGCUUCUUGUAAUUUUUAGUUGGAAAGAGUUAAAUAUUAUUUUUUAAAGGUAAGUUAGGCUUAAAAGUAGCUUUAUUGAAAAAGUGUUUUAACUAAACUCAGUAUAAAAAAUUAUUUUUAUUAGCUUUUUGUAAUAUCAGAAAACUAAUUUUAUUGGGACUGGCUAGGGUAAAAUAAUUUUAUAAGUAGAAUUUAAUGUUUAAGAAGAGAGUUUAUUAAAAAGUUUAUUAAUUUAAUAAGGAAUUGAUAUAUCAAAGGAAUUCGGCAAAAUAUUUCUUUGCCUGUUUAUCAAAAACAUGUCUGCUUGGAGGUAUAAGGAGUCUAGCCUGCUCUCUGAUUAGUUUUAAGGGCCGCGGUAAUCUGACCGUGCAAAGGUAGCAUAAUAGUUAGUUUUUUAAUUGGAAUCUUGUAUGAAUGGUUGGACAAAAGAAAUACUGUCUCUGUAAUUAUUAUUGAAUUUAACUUUUAAGUGAAAAGGCUUAAAUUAUUUAAAAAGACGAUAAGACCCUAUAAAGCUUUAUAAGUAAGCUCUAUUUGAUUAAAUUAGUUAAUAAAAUUUUAAUAGUUUAGUUAUUUUGUUGGGGAGAUAAUAUUAUAAUUGAAAAUAACUGAAGAUAAUUGUUACAAAUAUAAAUGCUUAAAAAAUAAAAGAUCCUUUAUAAAGAUUAAAAGUUUAAGUUACUUUAGGGAUAACAGCGUUAUUCUCUUUGAGAGCUCAUAUCGAAAAGAGAGAUUGCGACCUCGAUGUUGAAUUAAAAUUUCUAAAUGAUUGCAGAAGUUAUUUUAGAGGGUCUGUUCGACCUUUAAAUUUUUACAUGAUUUGAGUUCAGACCGGCGUGAGCCAGGUUGGUUUCUAUCUUUUAAAAAAUAUUAGACUAUUUUAGUACGAAAGGAUUAAAUAGUUGAAUUUUAUUUUGGAAUGGAAG
rnacentral:rRNA from 1 species